rnacentral:rRNA from 1 species
UACGAAGGUGGCAAGCGUUGUUCGGAUUUACUGGGCGUAAAGGGAGCGUAGGUGGUUAGGUAAGCCCUCCGGGAAAUCUUCAGGCUUAACCUGAAAAGGUCGGGGGGGACUGCCUGGCUAGAGUACUGGAGGGGUUCGUGGAAUUCCCGGUGUAGCGGUGAAAUGCGCAGAUAUCAGGAGGAACACCGGUGGCGAAGGCGGGUCUCUGGGCAACAACUGACGCUGAGGAGCGAAAGCGUGGGGAGCGAACAGG